UCGGUUUGUAGAGACGUGCCAACCCAUAGUACCGCUAAAAUGAAUGCUAUUUUAUAUGGAAGCAUACUUCAGCUCUUCGUUGGCGCACUUGCCUCGUACGGAACGCUACCUACUGGCUCAGGAACCGUGGGAGAACUCAUCACUGCAUUAAACACCUCUGGGCCAAUUUGGAUGGUCAAGCGCUCCUACAAUACGUCAAAUCAUAAAUGCGUCUAUGCAAAAAAAGUGUCUCUUACAGGCCAGGAUUAUGAAUUUCAACAAUAUUACCUGGAAAAUGGCCAAUGCCACUAUGGGAGAAGUUUACGUAUUGGUUAUUUGGACUCCUGAUGAACACUGCGGUAUUCUCCAUUCUUAUCACAAUGCUACAGGGAAAUAUGAAUGCGAAAUGUACGCCUGGAAUGAAACUGUGCGAACGAAUCUCUCUCAGUGUCACACCAAUUAUGGCACGUAUUGUACAAGUACAAGCCAUCAAGAUAAUACUGUCUACAAUAAGGAUUGUACGGAAUACUCAGGUUGCUAAAAGACUUGCAGUUAGCUGGACCAAGCGUAUUUGUUCAAGCUCCUCUAAUAAAGCUCAUGUGCUGAAUAAAAUCUUAUUUACCCUUAGAA
rnacentral:misc_RNA from 1 species